CAUUAGAUGGCUGAAAGCAAGCAAUGGAAUUUUAAACCAUGAAAUAGUAAAUUAGCGAUUACUUCUAGUG
rnacentral:tRNA from 1 species